CCUCUUAUCUCGUUCAAACUUAUUCUGACUGUCAAUGGAGAUCUAAUCUGAGGUUUGUCUUCAGAAAUCUGAAGACUUCUCUUCAUAGUCAUUCUCAUCAGAGCUCCAACUUUUUCAGCAAAGACCCCAGCAAAAGGAAGAUCUUUGCUUUACAAACUGGAAAGUAAAGAACCUCAUGUAAUCUUUGCCUGUGUAUGGAGAUCACUCAAGGUGUUAUUGAUUGUACUCCUUCAUCUAAAAAUACUUGAGUGUGUGAAAGAUUUGGCGCAGUGAAUAUGCACCUGGAUUCUCAAUAGUCGGCCAACUCUCAUCCUUCCCUUGUGGGACACUGCACUACAGUCCCCGGUCUGCAGCAUGCACCACAUGAGCAAAACCUCUUGGGAUCUUAUCUGGUAAACACUAAGAAUUCUCUGUUGAAAUGUGCAAAUGGCAAUUUUUCAGGGGCUUAUAAGUUAUUUGGAAAAGAGCAGGUAUUCACAAGAAAAACAAGAAACAUGCCCUAUAGGAAAGUGCAACAUGUCCUGAUAAACUGCAAAACCCUGCUCUGUAGCAUGGUGAUAGUACAAAGUAUGGGAAAUUUGUUUAAGUUUACCGUAAUUUUGGCCCAGGCCCAUGUCAGCCCUGUCCUGAAUCUUGGAAAUAUUUUAUUAAUUUUGGCUGACAAUAAUUACAUAAACUUCCGGAAAAUACCUUCUUCAUGCAGAUGUUUGGCACACACAAUUCCAGCUGGAAUAGCUAUAAUCUUGAUUAAGUUCUCAUCUGUUGGAAAACAAAGUCUCAUGAUACAAAGGAUCUUGCAAUGUAAAGGGCAGGUGAUGCUGAAACAAUCCUACCAGAAGCUAUGGAGGGUGGCAGGGUGGGUGUGAGCUAAUGGGACUACAGGUGUAGAAGGUGAAGUGUCAGCAAAGGAAUACUACAGAAUACACAGAAGAAUGGGAGUAGAAAAGGAUGAAAGAAUGAGAAUGAGGCAAACUAUGAAGAAAGGGAAUAAGACUGCAACAGCAAGGAUGGAAGAAGUCAAAAGAAAUCAGUGCUCUGCAGACACACUUUCACACUCCUCAGAGGACUCUCUCAACUACAACACUGCAUUUCCCAGUUAUUUCACCACCAGCACAUAGCACAACCAUUCACACUUUAUUGCCUUUGCUUUAGUAGUCUCUUUGCAUCUACUACCCAACAAUUUUUAUUGGAGAAGAGAUCAUCACUAGCUCCUGGUAGUGGCUUUCACUCCAAAAUUCUUGUCUUGUCUUGUCUUGUCUAUCCUCUGAGCUCAUAGACCACAGCAUCUACAUGUCCCUGAGCAGUCACACCAGCUCUGUGUCUCCCCAAGAGGUACCAUGCCCAAGGCCAGAGCAGGAAGGGAGCUUGGCUCGGUCUUGCAGAAGCUCAAAGACACAUUCACGCUCGUGCUGUGAUUUCUCUUGCACAGUAUGCAACAAAGAAACCUGGCAGGAGUGGGAUGACCCAUUUGUUUGGUUGCCAUGACAAUGUGCUACACAGCACAGAAUGUUGCUCUGAGCAGCCUUGAUGCUUGGCUGCUGUGGGCUGACAAUACUCUACAAAAAUAAAGUAAAAGAGUUGUCUGUUGUCAUUGCACUGCAGUGCGUUGACCUCUGCGGGAUGAGAGGUGAAGCUCAUCUGAGGCGACGAAGAUGUCUUGCUCAGAAUAUCCCAUUUCUUUGGAAAGAGCUUUUGUUUUUUUCCCCCGAGAAAGAUUGGUUGAAUAACAUGGGGUUUUAUUUAUUUAUUUGAAUUUCUAAGAGGGGUCAUUUAAUUUCUAGUACUAGUGUAAUGCUGCAAAUAAAGUACAACAGUGGCAUAUAAAUGCGGGGGCAGAACUGUAUUCACAUUGCAGGAGGAAGACAAACAUUUUCUCUGAAGUGGAAGCUGCUGACAUCUGUAAGUGAGUAUGCAUGAGAAGCAUGUAAAGUUAUGCCCGAAGUCUGAUUUAGAACAGCAAAUAAAGACUGUUCUCCACCUGACACAUGAGGGUGGGCAGCAUUUGCUCUCUCAACCAUGAGGAACUACCUCUGCUGGUGCAGAAAAGAAAAAUACUUUACCACUAGCUUAUUAUCCCCCAGAGAUAACUUAACUUUAUUUCUUUAAAGAAAUAUAGGCUUCUCAAGUGCAGAUUACCCAAGAGAUGUGCCUGGAAGGGCUUUGCUGAGCCUUUGAGGCAUUUUCUAUGCUCCUAGCUUGCUUCUUGCUGUGAGACAAAGAUGACUUUUAUGUUAAAUUUUGUGCUUUGCUAUAGAAGUGUUUAUGUUACUAUUAUUAUUAUUGUUAAUUAUGAGAAUAGUAAUUUGCAUUGUUGUAGAAUUUAGGAGUUCAAAUCAAGAGUCUUUCUCUAACAUACCAGACUCCGUAUAUACUUCCUUGUUUUUAUUUAAACUUCUAGACUAGUUUUUUUUAAAAUGCAUGUCGGUGAGCAUAGAGUAUAUAAUGUGUCCCCCUAGACCAGAUGCAAUUUCUUUCUAUUCUUCAGGAGAUUUGGGGACGUGUAUCUGCUCCUGUCACAAAGAGGGAUAUGCUUUGCAAAUCUCUGUACCCUUGACAAGAGCAGCUCUUAGCAACAGUUCAAGUCAAGGAACCCUCAAGAGAGACUGAAUUACAAAUAGUCUUUGAGUGAUGGCAAUCCCAGUUUCCCCUACUAUACCAGGGCUGUGCUGCAAGGUGGAGCCUCAUCAGGCAUUCUCAUACUGUUCUGUAUCACCUCGUUCUGAGCUCAGAGCUGCAUAUUCAAGCACAAACUUCUGCAUAUGUGAACAUUCACUAAAACACAAGCAAACAGAAUCUUUUGUAAACACCCAAGACAAGGAAGUGCAAGAUCUAACAGGUCCCAUGGCUGGCUGGUUUCCUGACGACUUGCCUGCAACCUCAGCUGCCAAAUUGGGAAGACCUGGUCAAAGACUCCAUCACGGCAUCAGAGUUUCUUAACUUCAGGAGGCAGAGCCAUGUUCUGUCAGCCUGUCUUUGGAUGAGCAGCAGUUCAGCAAAGCUCCAUUCCAUCCUGUAAUGGGACUGAAGAGCCCCACUGGUGGCUGAGAAAGUUCAACAAAAACAUACAGUACCAGGAACUUCGCUUUUGGCAGUUGAUUUAUCCAAGACCCCAAGCAAUCCUUGAACACUAUUUUCCUGAGGUUGAAACUCAGCCUAAGUACUCUGCAAUAUAGAUACAGUGUACAGACAGAGAAGAUCAAGAGAAAAAGGCUGCUGCUGCUGCUACUCUGAACCUGAGAAAAACAGACAGCAUAAGCAAUGCUUUGGUGGUUUUGUUUUGUUUGUUUGGUUGUUUUAAUUUGUUUCUUUCUUCUAAGUCUGUUACCACUUUCCAAACUUUUGUGUUCCUAACACAGAAAAACUCCUUAAUCUUGUUUCUGACUACGGUCAGCUGAAGAACUCCUAAGCACAGCUGGCUGUGGGUGGCAGCAGGAGGCUGAAUUGGCAGAAAAUUUCUGGCUGAAUACAAUUAUCAGCAAAGACAGCUUUCUGUGACUACUGAUGCUUGUAUUUCUCACCUUUUUAGGACAAAUUUCCUUUCCCACUUUCUAAUGAACACUGUAAUGCAGCUAUAGUUAAAUGAGCUAUGGAUUAUAUUUGCCUCUUACCUGUGCAACAGCAAAGGGCUUGAGUCAGUUAACAGUCACAUGGACAAUAUCAAGGCUAAUAAAGCCUGAAUAAAUUCUUAUUCUAACUAUAGCCUUUUCCAAAUAGCAUCCAUUCAAGAAGCAGAAUUUUCUCCAUAUGAAAUUCUUCAUGUCAUAUCUCUAACCUUGAAUCCCACCCCCCCGUACUGGUGGAUCUUUCAACUACUAUCUUGAAGUUUCUAAGAUUUAUAGUUAUUAUACAUUGUCGUUAAAACCUGCAUGGGCCAUCUGACAGCAAUAUAUUCUUAAGUUUCAUAGGUGGUGAAUAAGGUAGAUAUUUCUGUUGCCCAGUUUGCUUUUAAGGAAAAACGGAGUGCAAGUGUCAUGGGUGAUUUCAAAGUUAUUUAAAGACAAAUAAUAUGAGAACACAACUCUCCCAAGCUAAUUGUAUAGGUAAUCAAUGCAUGAAGACAUAUGUGUUUUCCAAGCAUAGUAGUAUUUACAAGUGCAUACACAGUGUCCAGGACCAUGUGUGUUCUUGUAUAGGUAGUUACAUACUAGAGCUUAUUGUACCUGUAUGUUUUUCUCUUGCUGUGAAAUACUGUACCUGCGGAAACAGAAUAUGGAAUAAAAUGUUUGAUCGUUUAUAUAGUUUAAAUUAAUUAACUUCCUGCUGGAAUGGCUUACUUGGUCCUUAUUAAAUGUCAUAAGAGGUAAAGAGAAGGGCACAUCCCUGAAUACAUAUAUAUAUAUAUGUAUAUAUAUAUGAGAUAAUGCCACAUGUGAAGAAAUACUUAGAUGUUUCCUUUUUAAAACAAAUGUUCAUAAAAUCUUAUGUCUGUGUGUUAUGUUCAUAAUUAGAAAAAAAUCUCCAUUCAGAUUAGCCCUUUAUAAUACUAAAAAUGUACAUAGGAUCCUAUUUAUGCUUCUUACAAUAUCAGUGCACAGCCUUCAUGCAGCAAUAUGAAUCUCCUGCAAAGUAAAGGGAAUUUGGAAAGACUUUUCACGAUAAAAAAUGAAAAAGCAUGGAAGACUAUAUGUAAUUUCUUCUUGUGGAAGUAAUGCAACUCAAGUGAAACUGCUGACCAUAUUUCCAAAAGAAACUGUCAGAGAGAACAUCUUAGAAAAACGGAUUUAAAAAAUAACAUUCCUUGAUUUUUUUGAUAUUUUUUUUUCCUGUGAUAAGAGGAAGAAAUUAACAAAAUAAAACCUUUUAAACUGGACUAUGCCUUUCUUCCUGUCCUUCCCACAGAAGAAUUCAACCAAAAAAACCCCAAAGCAAACAACAACAAAAACCCCACAAAAAUGAAAACAAACAAAAACAAACAAACAAAUACCCUAAAACCACCACCAAAAAACCCCCACACAACAAAAAUUAACCACAAAUCCCAAAAAGCACUACCAACAACCUCUCUUCCCCAUCACGACCAAGAACAUUUUAGAAAAUUUGUCCAAGUUGCUCUUUUUGGACACGUGGGGCCACUGAACUACAUGUAUUUGUGAUGGGACUAUCUUUACAGCCAUGACUGACUUGGUCAAAAAGAUAUUAUUUUAAUACUCUUCUAUGCUAAAAGAAAAACUUCUCCCCCCAUAAUUUGUAUUUCAUUAGCAUAAGGUGAGAGCGUUUCCAUGGAAACAGCAGUGAUAUAUAAUUUCUGAAUAAUGAUUUCUCCACAAAGAAUCCAAAAAAUCAUUUUCAGAUUACAAUGCAAAAAUCUCCAAACAUCGUUCACUUAUUAAUAUUACAGAGAAAUAGGUAAAGACUAUGAACCUUAAAUUGUAGCUGUAAAUUGUUAAAGAUAAAUUGAGUAGGCUAUUAUUUCAAUCCUAGAAAAGGAAAAUGUGGCAAAAUACUAGAAACCAAAGUUGAAGUUACAAUAAGUGUAAUUUCACUGUAUUCAGUGAUCAGCUUCAUAAGUCAGUACAAAAUAUGAUGGGUCAGUAUAGCAUCUCUAUAUAUUCAGAUCACUCUAAAUAAUUCCCUUUCCUUUCUAUUUUGACUAUAAAAUGUUUUAUACCUAUAUCUCAUUUAUAGAGUGUCAAUAUUAAGAUGAAAAGAUGCACUAAAUAAAAGUUUUCUGCUUGUUCA